AAAAAUAUUUGGUCUCAUGCCAAAUUUACACCUGUGUGCACCAUUGUCUGUAUUUGGUAGCUCGAGCGCGCUCCGGAAGCUCAACACUUCCAUUAGGGGCGCCUACCCUUGCGGGUCACAUCCCGCUUGGGUUGGGCUACCGCCUUUUUUUUGAAAAACCUUUUUUGUUUUGUCUUUUUGUCUGAACGAAGAGUUGAUCUUAAUUGAUUAAUGAUUUGAAAA
rnacentral:misc_RNA from 1 species